rnacentral:tRNA from 1 species
ACCUGUCUGACUCAGUCAGUAGAGUGUGUGACUCUUAAUCUUGGCAUUGUGAGUUCAAGUCCCACAUCAGGUG